UAUGCUCAGAUUCCAGCUCAGCUUUAAUUUAAAUAAAAUCAUUUUCAUACCGGAAUAGGCAGGAUAUAAUUAAUGCAAUUUGGUAGCGCGUCAACCUCGGAAGGCAAAAGGUCUGCGUUUCGAUCCCCCACCUCGGCAUCAGGUGUGCCCCUGAGCAAGACACUUCGCGCUAGCUCCCCGAGCGCCGCUCAUGUGGCAGCUCACUCCCCCCUUAAGGGGGAUGGGUCAAAUGCAGAGAACAAAUUUCCCCACUGUGGGACUAAUAAGGGUUAAUUUCUCUUUCUCUUCUAAACAUAGCAGUUACAUUUAUGCAUGUACCGGCACACACAGAGAUUAGAGGGAACGAGAUGGCAGAUUCACUGGCAAAGGAGCCAAUCAAACAGGAAAGGUUUAUGGAUAUUAGUAAGGCAGAAGCGAAAUCCUUAAAAGUAAAAUCAUCAAUAAAUGGCAAAAUAACUGGGUUAAGGGACGAACAGGCAGACAUCUGUAUAAAAUACAGAGGGAAGUAGGGAAGAUGAGGGCAGCAUCUACUCUGGUCCACACUCCAGCAUAGUACUGUAGGUGGCAGUAAGGUGGCACCUUUCAGUUAGUUACCACCGGCCAUUUAAAAGACAAAAAAAGAAGAGGAGCCGCGCAUUUGGGUCCUUCCUGACAAGCAGAUGUUAACCCUCAUUAUUGCAGGAGACGCUCCUCAUUGGCUCGGUUGACUCAUAAACAAUACAGUAAACAUAUAGUUUCGGUCACGGGUUGUGACAUGUUGUGUAGAUCUGUUACACAUUAGUGUAGUGAAGGGGAGAGAGUUUAAUUUGUGUUGGUAAAAGGUUCGAAAUGUUGUGUUUAGAAAGCUUUAUUUAAAACAGAAGUGUUGAGUGUAGAUUGUUUUACUCAGUUAUUAUUCCACACGCAUCUUCCUUUAUUUACCCUAACUUCAUUGUGCAGUCAUAAAUCAUAGUGAUCAUCCCUUAAAUCUUAAUAUUUUUAUUUCUGGUGUAUAGUUGAAGCUGAUGCAGUCGGAGCGGAACGUUGAAGAAGUCGUCAAUGACAGAAGUCUGAAGGUUUUCAAUGAAAGGUGCAGAAUCCACUACACGCCUCCAAAGGUGAAGUUAACCUCCUACUGGUUCCAGUCCAGACCAGAUCUGAGACUGUGAGCUGCUGCUGAGUCCUGACUGCAGCCUGUUCAGCACCCAGACCGACCCGGACCUCUAGUCCAACACACUUUAUUCCAUAGUGAUGAUUGAUUGCAGUUACCACCAGUGUAUAACAGACAUCUACUGUAUGUGCUUCUGCAAUGAGAGACAUUGUACAAAUAGUAUUUUUUUGAAUGAAAUGUUCUUAGAUGGUGUUUGUGGUGUGUGAUUUAAACCAUUUACAAAGUGUUGGUCCUUAUGUUAAUGCCUGGAAUCCUGCACAUAAUCAGAGGUUUCGUAGGUAAUUGCGUAACAGGUUUAGGAGGAGUUAAGAAACUAGGAUCCUGGAAAUUUGCAUAUAUGUUACAUGCAGAAGUGAUCUCAUUUCUCAUCUGCCUUGACUUUAUUUUGGCAAUUAAAUUUUUUAAAGACCGAAAUCACUGCUUCUGGGCUGGAGAGAAAACUGUGAGAGACUCAAACGGUGUUCAUUUUUACACCAAACAGUGACCAGUAAAUGUUUGAGCCUUCAUUAGACACAUGUAAUCUUAGAAAAAGUUGCAUAAACCUCAGGGUUUGUGGGUAAACCCAGGAAAGCCAACUCUCUCUGAUGUCCUACCCUGAAACAUUUUGUUAAAAUAUUCUAUUAACAGGACAGAAAAACAGGACUUUCUUGUCCGAUUAGAUUCUGUACGCGCCUCAACACAACACUUGAUGUGUAAAUGUCUCCUUCAGUCAUAUGCAUAAAGUAGCAGUUUGUUGUUUGUUUGAUGUUGAAGCAGAAAAUGCAUCAUGAAGAUUUUGAGAAGGUUUAAUCAUUAGAGGAUUAAUUUAAAGGCUGUAGAAAUAUAAUCACCAGCUCAUAUAAAACUCCACAUUACUAUAAGUCAUUGAAUGUAUCACUAGAGACUGUUUACGCACCUCCAUCCUCAUCAUGAGGACCUUUAAUGUAAACAAACAUUGAUUUUAACCAAUUUAUUGAGCACCGCAAAAGCAAAGCAAUAAUAGUAAACAUCAAACAUCAAAUUAUAAGGAAAUUAAUUUAAACCUUUGUUAAUUUAGGAAUGAACCUAUUUUAUAAGUCAGACUUUAAUAAUAAACAAAUUGAGUCAAUCUUAUUUCAAUCCAUUCUUUAAUUUUCUUUUUUAAACAAGUACAAGGAGCUCCUGAUUGUCAUUGUAGACUUUGUGCUUGAACGCGUUAAAACUGAAGCAAACAACAAACAGCAGAGUUUGGUUCUGAGGCUUCAGUUCUACAGAAG